UUCCGGUUGAUCCUGCCGGACCCCACUGCUAUCGGGAUAGGACUAAGACAUGCUAGUCGUGUGCCUCAGCCAAAACGAGGCACGGCGCACAGCUCAGUAACACGUGGCUAACCUGCCCUUAGGACGAGAAUAACCCCGGGAAACUGGGGCUAAUGCUCGAUAGGUGAAGAACUCUGGAAUGAGUCUUCACUUAAAAGAGUCUGCGUUAUGCCCGUAGAUUUCGCUUAAGGAUGGGGCCGCGACCGAUCAGGUUGUUGGUGAGGUAAUGGCUCACCAAGCCUUUUACCGGUGCGGGCCGCGAGAGCGGGAGCCCGGAGAUGGGCACUGAGACAAGGGCCCAGGCCCUACGGGGCGCAGCAGUCGCGAAAACUUUGCAAUACACGAAAGUGUGACAGGGCUAUCCCGAGUGCCAUCCGCUGAGGAAGGCUUUUACCCAGUCUAGAACGCUGGGGGAAUAAGGAGAGGGCAAGUCUGGUGUCAGCCGCCGCGGUAAUACCAGCUCUCCGAGUGGUGUGGAUGUUUAUUGGGCCUAAAGCAUCCGUAGCUGGCUAAGUUAGUCCCCUGUUAAAUCCAACGAAUUAAUCGUUGGAUCGCGGGGGAUACUGCUUGGCUAGGGGACGAGAGAGGCAGACGGUAUUUCCGGGGUAGGGGUGAAAUCCUAUAAUCCCGGGAAGACCACCAGUGGCGAAGGCUGUCUGCUAGAACGCGCCCGACGGUGAGGGAUGAAAGCUGGGGGAGCGAACCGGAUUAGAUACCCGGGUAGUCCCAGCUGUAAACGAUGCAGGCUAGGUGUUUGGACGGCCACGUGCCGUUCUAGUGCCGCAGGGAAGCUGUUAAGCCUGCCGCCUGGGGAGUACGAUCGCAAGAUUGAAACUUAAAGGAAUUGGCGGGGGAGCACCACAAGGGGUGAAGCUUGCGGUUUAAUUGGAUUCAACGCCGGG
rnacentral:rRNA from 1 species